GAUGAAGAACGCAGCGAAAUGCGAUAAGUAAUGUGAAUUGCAGAAUUCAGUGAAUCAUCGAAUCUUUGAACGCACCUUGCACCCUUUGGCAUUCCGAAGGGUAUGCUCGUUUGAGUGUCAUUGUACUCUCACACUCCCAAUUGCUUUGGAUUGGGAGCGGUGGACUUGGGUGUUGCUGCUUGACUGAGGCUCACCUGAAAUAUGUUAGUGCACCUCUUGAUUGGACAUAGUACGGCGUGAUAAGUGUCUUCGCCGGCUCCUCGCAAAGAGGGUGGCCGAUCGGGAGCUCUGUUGCUUCAAACUGUCUUCGGACAAUCUUCUGGCGACUUGACCUCAAAUCGAGUAGGACUACCCGCUGAACUUAAGCAUAUCAUAAGCGGAGG
rnacentral:misc_RNA from 1 species